rnacentral:tmRNA from 1 species
GGGGCUGAUUCUGGAUUCGACGGGAUUUGCGAAACCCAAGGUGCAUGCCGAGGGGCGGUUGGCCUCGUAAAAAGCCGCAAAAAAAUAGUCGCAAACGACGAAACCUACGCUUUAGCAGCUUAAUAACCUGCUUAGAGCCCUCUCUCCCUAGCCUCCGCUCUUAGGACGGGGAUCAAGAGAGGUCAAACCCAAAAGAGAUCGCGCGGAUGCCCUGCCUGGGGUUGAAGCGUUAAAACUAAUCAGGCUAGUCUGGUAGUGGCGUGUCCGUCCGCAGGUGCCAGGCGAAUGUAAAGACUGACUAAGCAUGUAGUACCGAGGAUGUAGGAAUUUCGGACGCGGGUUCAACUCCCGCCAG